rnacentral:rRNA from 1 species
AGGUCAGUCGGGACUACCCGCUG